UUCUUUAAAACUUUAUAAUGUUUACUAUUUUACUCCUUAACUGCUAUAAAUAUAAUAGUUCCGAAUAAUCAAAUUUUCUCAAAUUAAUCCUCAAGAGGCACAAUAUUUUUUUUUAAUAAAAAUUUACUUAACACUAAUAGAAUAACCAAAAUGAUUAGGUUCUGAAAUUUUUAAAUGAACGAAUCGUCAUCUAAAAUAUAGAAAAUCUGAAAAUUCUAGUCGUUUACUUAACGAAGGUACAUUUCAAUACGUCUUAAAGAAUACCUAGAUAGAACACAACCUGAAAACACAGUGUUAGGACAAAAUCUAAAAGCUUUGAAGGUCUAGAUAUGUCCAGAUAAACUCCAUCUGUGUCCAGCUACUGCAGAAUGCUGUAAAAAGUCGGAUAGGUGGGACUGCUGUGCCAAAGCACCUACUGAAGGCGAGUGUUGCAAGCAAUGGGGGGAAAAGUGGGUCUGUUGUUGAGACCCACUUUCCCUUUUCCACCCUGAGUCCCUAAAUAUUGUAAUUUAGGUAAUGUAAAAGUUAAUGUGAAAGU